rnacentral:lncRNA from 1 species
GGGACAUAGAAAUGCAGGGAAUAACUAUGCCCUGCUGUGACCCUAGCUUCUCCUGACAUUGCCUCAGGAUCAAUUAUGGAGCAAAGCAAAUUUUAGGAACAAAGUACGUUAACCAGUAUCCAGUAUAGAAUUGAGAUGAUUGAAUAAACAAUAGUUUGUUACUUAACCUCAAAUCCAGAAUUUCAGAGGCAAUUUUUUUAACAUUCUUGAGAUCAGAAAACUGAUGAACAAAAACUAUAACCAAAUUGAUUUCAAAAUUGAAAACAAUUUUAUGAAAUAUUAAUUUCUAGAAAAUUUGUUAGUAAACUAAACCAAGCUUUUUCAUAAGUGUGGGAAUUCAACAAAUUUGACAAAGAAA